GUACUACUCCCUCCGUUCCAAAUUACUCGUCUUAAAAAUAGAUGUAUCUAUAAUUAAAAUACAUCUAGAUAUAUUCAUAUAUGUGACAAGUAAUUCAGAACGGAGGGAGUACUAC
rfam:Triticum urartu cultivar G1812 contig106039, whole genome shotgun sequence.